UACAGAGGUCUCAAGCGUUGUUCGGAUUCAUUGGGCGUAAAGGGUGCGUAGGUGGCAUGGUAAGUCGGAUGUGAAAUCCCGGGGCUCAACCCCCGGAACUGCAUUCGAUACUGCUGAGCUAGAGUACUGGAGAGGAGAUUGGAAUUUACGGUGUAGCAGUGAAAUGCGUAGAUAUCGUAAGGAAGACCAGUGGCGAAGGCGGAUCUCUGGACAGUUACUGACACUGAGGCACGAAGGCCAGGGGAGCAAACGGG
rnacentral:rRNA from 1 species